UACGAAGGGGGCUAGCGUUGCUCGGAAUUACUGGGCGUAAAGGGCGCGUAGGCGGUCAGUUAAGUCAGAGGUGAAAGCCCAGGGCUCAACCCUGGAAUUGCCUUUGAUACUGGCUGUCUUGAGUAUGGGAGAGGUGAGUGGAACUCCGAGUGUAGAGGUGAAAUUCGUAGAUAUUCGGAAGAACACCAGUGGCGAAGGCGACUCACUGGCCCAUUACUGACGCUGAGGCGCGAAAGCGUGGGGAGCAAACAGG
rnacentral:rRNA from 1 species